rnacentral:rRNA from 1 species
AGAGUUUGAUCCUGGCUCAGGAUGAACGCUAGCGGGAGGCUUAACACAUGCAAGUCGAGGGGCAGCACGGGGUAGCAAUAUCCUGGUGGCGACCGGCGCACGGGUGAGUAACGCGUAUGCAACCUACCCUGUACAGGGGGAUAGCCCGGAGAAAUUCGGAUUAAUACCCCAUAAAGAUAUUGAGAGGCAUCUUUUAAUAUUUAAAGAUUUAUCGGUACGGGAUGGGCAUGCGUAACAUUAGCUAGUUGGUAGGGUAACGGCCUACCAAGGCAACGAUGUUUAGGGGUCCUGAGAGGGUGAUCCCCCACACUGGUACUGAGACACGGACCAGACUCCUACGGGAGGCAGCAGUGAGGAAUAUUGGUCAAUGGGCGUAAGCCUGAACCAGCCAUCCCGCGUGCAGGAAGACGGCGCUAUGCGUUGUAAACUGCUUUUCCAGGGGAAGAAAACUCUCGUCGUGACGAGACUUGCCGGUACCUUGGGAAUAAGCAUCGGCUAACUCCGUGCCAGCAGCCGCGGUAAUACGGAGGAUGCGAGCGUUAUCCGGAUUUAUUGGGUUUAAAGGGUGCGUAGGCGGAUUAAUAAGUCAGUGGUGAAAACCUUCAGCUUAACUGGAGAACUGCCAUUGAUACUGUUAGUCUUGAGUACGGUCAAGGUAGGCGGAAUGUGUAAUGUAGCGGUGAAAUGCUUAGAUAUUACACAGAACACCGAUGGCGAAGGCAGCUUACUGGGCCAUUACUGACGCUGAUGCACGAAAGCGUGGGGAGCAAACAGGAUUAGAUACCCUGGUAGUC